rnacentral:rRNA from 1 species
GAGUUUGAUCUUGGCUCAGGACGAACGCUGGCGGCGUGCUUAACACAUGCAAGUCACGGGGGCCCGCAAGGGCAACCGGCGAACGGGUGUCGUAACACGUGAGCAAUCUGCCGAUUUCUGGGGGAUAGCCGGCCCAACGGCCGGGGUAAUACCGCAUACGCUCAUUUGGGGGAGUCCCCGAGUGAGGAAACCUCCGGGGGAAAUCGAGGAGCUCGCGGCCUAUCAGCUAGGUUGGCGGGGUAACGGCCCACCAAGGCUCUGACGGGUAGCUGGUCUGAGAGGAUGGCCAGCCACAUUGGGACUGAGAGACGGCCCAGACUCCUACGGGAGGCAGCAGUGGGGAAUCUUGCGCAAUGGCCGAAAGGCUGACGCAGCGACGCCGCGUGUGGGA